rfam:Fukomys damarensis contig72074, whole genome shotgun sequence.
UGGGCUAUGGCUCAGUGGCAGAGCACUUGCUUAGCAUGUGUGAGAGCCUGGGUUCAAGCCCCAGUACUGCAA